GAUGAACGCUAGCGGCAGGCCUAACACAUGCAAGUCGAGGGGUAACAGAAAAGCUUGCUUUUGCUGACGACCGGCGCACGGGUGCGUAACGCGUAUGCAACCUACCUCAUACUGGAGGAUAGCCCCUGGAAACGGGGAUUAAUACUCCAUAGUAUCACAAUUUCGCAUGUUAUUGUGAUUAAAGUUUUUCGGUAUGAGAUGGGCAUGCGUCCCAUUAGCUUGUUGGUGAGGUAACGGCUCACCAAGGCAACGAUGGGUAGGGGGCCUGAGAGGGUGGUCCCCCACACUGGUACUGAGACACGGACCAGACUCCUACGGGAGGCAGCAGUGAGGAAUAUUGGUCAAUGGAGGAAACUCUGAACCAGCCAUGCCGCGUGAAGGAUGACGGCCCUAUGGGUUGUAAACUUCUUUUAUAGAGGAAGAAACUUGUCUACGUGUAGACAACUGACGGUACUCUACGAAUAAGGAUCGGCUAACUCCGUG
rnacentral:rRNA from 1 species